rfam:Scleropages formosus scaffold3410, whole genome shotgun sequence.
UAUAUAAGCAUUGCACCCAGGGUUUGGGUCACCAAACAUUGUACCUGGAGCUUUUCUGUACUAAUUAAAGACUGUU